rnacentral:misc_RNA from 1 species
AACACUGUUAACCUGCGGUACCUGCGGAAGGAUCAUUACAGAGUUGCAAAACUCCCUAAACCAUUGUGAACGUUACCUAAACCGUUGCUUCGGCGGGCGGCCCGGGUCCUUCCCGGCGCCCAUCGGCCCUCGCGGGCGCCCGCCGGAGGUAAACCAAACUAUUGCAUUGUAUGGCCUCUCUGAGUCUUCUGUACUGAAUAAGUCAAAACUUUCAACAAUGGAUCUCAGAUCGGAAGAGCA